UUUCCGGUUGAUCCCGCCGGACCUGACUGCUAUCGGAUUGAUACUAAGCCAUGCGAGUCAUUGUAGCAAUACAAGGCAGACGGCUCAGUAACGCGUAGUCAACCUAACCUAUGGACGGGAAUAACCUCAGGAAACUGAGAAUAAUGCCCGAUAGAACACUAUAUCUGGAAUGGUUUGUGUUCCAAAGGAUUUAUCGCCGUAGGAUGGGACUGCGGCCUAUCAGUUUGUUGGUGAGGUAAUGGCCCACCAAGACUAUUACAGGUACGGGCUCUGAGAGGAGUAGCCCGGAGAUGGGUACUGAGACACGGACCCAGGCCCUAUGGGGCGCAGCAGGCGAGAAAACUUUGCAAUGUGCGAAAGCACGACAAGGUUAAUCCGAGUGGUUUCUGCUAAAGGAACCUUUUGUCGGUCCUAGAAACACCGAUGAAUAAGGGGUGGGCAAGUUCUGGUGUCAGCCGCCGCGGUAAAACCAGCACCUCAAGUGGUCAGGAUGAUUAUUGGGCCUAAAGCAUCCGUAGCCUGCUUUGUUAGUUUUCGGUUAAAUCUAUACGCUCAACGUAUAGGCUGCCGGGAAUACUGCAAAGCUAGGGAGUGGGAGAGGUAGACGGUACUCGGUAGGAAGGGGUAAAAUCCUUUGAUCUAUUGAUGACCACCUGUGGCGAAGGCGGUCUACCAGAGCACGUCCGACGGUGAGGGAUGAAAGCUGGGGGAGCAAACCGGAUUAGAUACCCGGGUAGUCCCAGCCGUAAACCAUGCAAACUCAGUGAUGCAUUGGCUUGUGGCCAAUGCAGUACUGCAGGGAAGCCGUUAAGUUUGCCGCCUGGGAAGUACGUACGCAAGUAUGAAACUUAAAGGAAUUGGCGGGGGAGCACCACAAGGGGUGAAGCCUGCGGUUCAAUUGGAGUCAACGCCGGGA
rnacentral:rRNA from 1 species